rnacentral:lncRNA from 1 species
CACCAAGUGUUUGGUCCUCGCUUCAGCAGCUGGCGACAGACGGACCUGACCCAUAUUUCCUCGUCAUAGCGAGGUCUCCCCCAGCUGAAUGUGUAAUUCUCUCACCUCCGGAUCAAGCUGCUUGCCUCCUGAUGGAGCUCCCUCCUCAAACGGAAUAUGCAUAAACACAAGGGACAUUUUGGGGAGAGAAACGGCACAGCCACAGCAAGCCGCUGAUGAGACUAUAGCCUACAGCUCACCGUCAACAAUAACACGUAUCGUGCUUCGUGGUCUGUCGUCAUUCCAUCCGGUCUGGAACGUUCCGGGGUUUACCUUUCGAGACCGUUCAUCCCCAUCGGUGUGAUAUUUGACAGGUCCCUUUGUUGGGUGGAGUCAAGUCCGCAAUUUUCUAUAUUGGAAUCAUCACUGGCAUCAUUUCAGGUCAUCAUCAUGAAGGACAGUGUGGUCAACAACAACAGCAUCUCCCACGCCAGGAAAGCUGUGGAACAGCUCAAGAUGGAGGCUUGUAUGGACAGGAUGAAAGUCUCCAAAGCAGCAGCGGAUCUGAUGGUGUAUUGCGACGCCCACAUACGUGACGACCCCCUCAUCGUGCCCGUGCCAGCCUCGGAGAACCCCUUUAGGGAGAAGAAGUUAUUCUGCACCAUCCUCUGAUGCCCAGUCGGGGGCAGACCAGCCUGGUGUCUCCUCUUCUGUCUUCACCGUACCAAGCUAACAAAACGCUGUGAAAGUAACCAGGAAGUGAAUGCCCUUUCAGCCUUGUAGUUUUUAAACUUUUGUAUUUUUUUUAAUUUUUUUUUUAUGGUCUUCAAGUACAAAAAACAUAGAUACAUUUUCUUCAUUAAAAAGAAUCUUCAUAAAAGGCAUCUUUUAGAAGUAAAUUCAA